rnacentral:rRNA from 1 species
AUUGAACGCUGGCGGCAGGCCUCACACAUGCAAGUCGAACGAGUGGCGGACGGGUGAGUAAUGUCUGGGAAACUGCCUGAUGGAGGGGGAUAACUACUGGAAACGGUAGCUAAUACCGCAUACCAUCAGAUGUGCCCAGAUGGGAUUAGCGAGUUGGUGGGGUAACGGCUCACCAAGGCGACGAUCCCUAGCUGGUCUGAGAGGAUGACCAGCCACACUGGGACUGAGACCCGGGCCAGACUCCUACGUGAGGCGGCAGUGGGGAAUAUUGCACAAAGGGCGCAAGCCUGAUGCAGCAAUGUCGCGUGUAUGAAGAAGGCAUUCGGGUUGUAAAGUACUUUCAGCGGGGAGGCGUUACCCGCAGAAGAAGCACCGGCUAACUCCGUGCCAGCAGCCGCGGUAAUUC